CUGCCAGCAGCCGCGGUAAUACGGAGGGUGCGAGCGUUAAUCGGAAUUACUGGGCGUAAAGCGCACGUAGGCGGUCGUGUAAGUGGGAUGUGAAACCCCCGGGCUUAACCUGGGACUUGCAUACCAGACUGCAUGGCUAGAGUAUGAGAGAGGGUGGUGGAAUUUCCGGUGUAGCGGUGAAAUGCGUAGAGAUCGGAAGGAACAUCAGUGGCGAAGGCGGCCACCUGGCUUAAUACUGACGCUGAGGUGCGAAAGCGUGGGGAUCAAACAGGAUUAGAAACCCGCGUAGUCC
rnacentral:rRNA from 1 species